rnacentral:rRNA from 1 species
UACGAAAGGAGUACUCGUACUCUCAAACCCUUUGUGAACAUACCAUCCGUCAGUUGCUUCGGCGGGAGGCCCCUGGGAGGGGCCCCGGGGCCCGGCCUGAGCCGGGCUCCCGCCGGAGGAGCGCAAACCAAACUCUUGAUGUACACCAGUGGCACGUCCGGGUAAACAAAUAAAAACAAGUUAAAACUUUCAACAACGGAUCUCUUGGUUCUGGCAUCGAUGAAGAACGCAGCGAAAUGCGAUAAGUAAUGUGAAUUGCAGAAUUCAGUGAAUCAUCGAAUCUUUGAACGCACAUUGCGCCCGCCAGCAUUCUGGCGGGCAUGCCUGUUCGAGCGUCAUUUCAACCCCUCAGGCCCUGGUGCCUGGCGUCGGGGCUCUCCCGCCCAGCGGGAGGCCCCCAGAGACAGUGGCGGACCCGCCGCGGCUCCGAGCGCAGUAGUAAAAUUCUCGCUCAGGAGGUCCGCGGGGGGGCUCCCGGCCGUAAAACCAGGUCCCUCGCCCCCGGGCGUGGGCCUACUCCAAAGGUUGACCUCGGAUCAGGUAGGAAUACCCGCUGAACUUAAGCAUAUCAAUAAGCGGAGGAAAAG